rnacentral:rRNA from 1 species
CAUAGGUUAAUGAGGCGAACCGGGGGAACUGAAACAUCUAAGUACCCCGAGGAAAAGAAAUCAACCGAGAUUCCCCCAGUAGCGGCGAGCGAACGGGGAGGAGCCCAGAGCCUGAAUCAGUGUGUGUGUUAGUGGAAGCGUCUGGAAAGGCGCGCGAUACAGGGUGACAGCCCCGUACACAAAAAUGCACAUACUGUGAGCUCGAUGAGUAGGGCGGGACACGUGGUAUCCUGUCUGAAUAUGGGGGGACCAUCCUCCAAGGCUAAAUACUCCUGACUGACCGAUAGUGAACCAGUACCGUGAGGGAAAGGCGAAAAGAACCCCGGCGAGGGGAGUGAAAAAGAACCUGAAACCGUGUACGUACAAGCAGUGGGAGCCUCUUAAUGGGGUGACUGCGUACCUUUUGUAUAAUGGGUCAGCGACUUAUAUUCUGUAGCAAGGUUAACCGAAUAGGGGAGCCGAAGGGAAACCGAGUCUUAACUGGGCGUUAAGUUGCAGGGUAUAGACCCGAAACCCGGUGAUCUAGCCAUGGGCAGGUUGAAGGUUGGGUAACACUAACUGGAGGACCGAACCGACUAAUGUUGAAAAAUUAGCGGAUGACUUGUGGCUGGGGGUGAAAGGCCAAUCAAACCGGGAGAUAGCUGGUUCUCCCCGAAAGCUAUUUAGGUAGCGCCUCGUGAAUUCAUCUCCGGGGGUAGAGCACUGUUUCGGCAAGGGGGUCAUCCCGACUUACCAACCCGAUGCAAACUGCGAAUACCGGAGAAUGUUAUCACGGGAGACACACGGCGGGUGCUAACGUCCGUCGUGAAGAGGGAAACAACCCAGACCGCCAGCUAAGGUCCCAAAGUCAUGGUUAAGUGGGAAACGAUGUGGGAAGGCCCAGACAGCCAGGAUGUUGGCUUAGAAGCAGCCAUCAUUUAAAGAAAGCGUAAUAGCUCACUGGUCGAGUCGGCCUGCGCGGAAGAUGUAACGGGGCUAAACCAUGCACCGAAGCUGCGGCAGCGACGCUUAUGCGUUGUUGGGUAGGGGAGCGUUCUGUAAGCCUGUGAAGGUGGCCUGUGAGGGUUGCUGGAGGUAUCAGAAGUGCGAAUGCUGACAUAAGUAACGAUAAAGCGGGUGAAAAGCCCGCUCGCCGGAAGACCAAGGGUUCCUGUCCAACGUUAAUCGGGGCAGGGUGAGUCGACCCCUAAGGCGAGGCCGAAAGGCGUAGUCGAUGGGAAACAGGUUAAUAUUCCUGUACUUGGUGUUACUGCGAAGGGGGGACGGAGAAGGCUAUGUUGGCCGGGCGACGGUUGUCCCGGUUUAAGCGUGUAGGCUGGUUUUCCAGGCAAAUCCGGAAAAUCAAGGCUGAGGCGUGAUGACGAGGCACUACGGUGCUGAAGCGACAAAUGCCCUGCUUCCAGGAAAAGCCUCUAAGCAUCAGGUAACAUUAAAUCGUACCCCAAACCGACACAGGUGGUCAGGUAGAGAAUACCAAGGCGCUUGAGAGAACUCGGGUGAAGGAACUAGGCAAAAUGGUGCCGUAACUUCGGGAGAAGGCACGCUGAUAUGUAGGUGAAGCGACUUGCUCGUGGAGCUGAAAUCAGUCGAAGAUACCAGCUGGCUGCAACUGUUUAUUAAAAACACAGCACUGUGCAAACACGAAAGUGGACGUAUACGGUGUGACGCCUGCCCGGUGCCGGAAGGUUAAUUGAUGGGGUUAGCGGUAACGCGAAGCUCUUGAUCGAAGCCCCGGUAAACGGCGGCCGUAACUAUAACGGUCCUAAGGUAGCGAAAUUCCUUGUCGGGUAAGUUCCGACCUGCACGAAUGGCGUAAUGAUGGCCAGGCUGUCUCCACCCGAGACUCAGUGAAAUUGAACUCGCUGUGAAGAUGCAGUGUACCCGCGGCAAGACGGAAAGACCCCGUGAACCUUUACUAUAGCUUGACACUGAACAUUGAGCCUUGAUGUGUAGGAUAGGUGGGAGGCUUUGAAGUGUGGACGCCAGUCUGCAUGGAGCCGACCUUGAAAUACCACCCUU